GCCUGGGUGGUGGAAUCGGUAGACACAAGGGACUUAAAAUCCCUCGGUCGCAAGGCUGUACGAGUUCGAGUCUCGUCCCAGGCACCA
rnacentral:tRNA from 1 species